rnacentral:rRNA from 1 species
UACGAAGGUCCCAAGCGUUAUCCGGAUUUAUUGGGUUAAAGGGUGCGUAGGCGGGUUAUUAAGUCAGUGGUGAAAGCCUGCAGCUUAACUGCAGAAUUGCCAUUGAUACUGAUGAUCUUGAGUAUGAUUGAGGUGGGCGGAAUGUGUCAUGUAGCGGUGAAAUGCUUAGAUAUGACACAGAACACCGAUUGCGAAGGCAGCUCACUAAGUCAAUAACUG